rnacentral:tRNA from 1 species
GGUUCGGUAGUUCAGCUGGUUAGAAUACAUGCCUGUCACGCAUGGGGUCUCGGGUUCGAGUCCCGUACGCACCG